rnacentral:tRNA from 1 species
CGGGGCGUGGCGCAGUUUGGUAGCGCGCUUCCUUGGGGUGGAAGAGGUCGUGAGUUCGAAUCUCGCCGCUCCGA